rnacentral:rRNA from 1 species
GAUGAACGCCGGCGGCGUGCCUAAUACAUGCAAGUCGAGCGAACGGACGAGAAGCUUGCUUCUCUGAUGUUAGCGGCGGACGGGUGAGUAACACGUGGAUAACCUACCUAUAAGACUGGGAUAACUUCGGGAAACCGGAGCUAAUACCGGAUAAUAUUUUGAACCGCAUGGUUCAAAAGUGAAAGACGGUCUUGCUGUCACUUAUAGAUGGAUCCGCGCUGCAUUAGCUAGUUGGUAAGGUAACGGCUUACCAAGGCAACGAUGCAUAGCCGACCUGAGAGGGUGAUCGGCCACACUGGAACUGAGACACGGUCCAGACUCCUACGGGAGGCAGCAGUAGGGAAUCUUCCGCAAUGGGCGAAAGCCUGACGGAGCAACGCCGCGUGAGUGAUGAAGGUCUUCGGAUCGUAAAACUCUGUUACUAGGGAAGAACAUAUGUGUAAGUAACUGUGCACAUCUUGACGGUACCUAAUCAGAAAGCCACGGCUAACUACGUG